rnacentral:rRNA from 1 species
UACAGAGGUGGCAAGCGUUGUUCGGAAUUACUGGGCGUAAAGGGCGCGUAGGCGGCUUGGUCAGUCCCGUGUGAAAUCCCUCGGCUCAACUGAGGAACUGCACGGGAAACUGCCUGGCUUGAGUUCGGGAGAGGGAAGCGGAAUUCCGGGUGUAGCGGUGAAAUGCGUAGAGAUCCGGAGGAACACCGAAGGCGAAGGCAGUGUCCUGGCUGGUGACUGACGCUGAGGUGCGAAAGCUAGGGGAGCGAACGGG